AGGUGAAGUGAUUUACUCAUGGAGCUGAAGUCAGUCGAAGAUACCAGCUGGCUGCAACUGUUUAUUAAAAACACAGCACUGUGCAAACACGAAAGUGGACGUAUACGGUGUGACGCCUGCCCGGUGCCGGAAGGUUAAUUGAUGGGGUCAGCGCAAGCGAAGCUCCUGAUCGAAGCCCCGGUAAACGGCGGCCGUAACUAUAACGGUCCUAAGGUAGCGAAAUUCCUUGUCGGGUAAGUUCCGACCUGCACGAAUGGCGUAAUGAUGGCCAGGCUGUCUCCACCCGAGACUCAGUGAAAUUGAACUCGCUGUGAAGAUGCAGUGUACCCGCGGCAAGACGGAAAGACCCCGUGAACCUUUACUAUAGCUUGACACUGAACAUUGAGCCUUGAUGUGUAGGAUAGGUGGGAGGCUUUGAAGUGUGGACGCCAGUCUGCAUGGAGCCGACCUUGAAAUACCACCCUUUAAUGUUUGAUGUUCUAACGUGGACCCGUAAUCCGGGUUGCGGACAGUGUCUGGUGGGUAGUUUGACUGGGGCGGUCUCCUCCUAAAGAGUAACGGAGGAGCACGAAGGUUGGCUAAUCCUGGUCGGACAUCAGGAGGUUAGUGCAAUGGCAUAAGCCAGCUUGACUGCGAGCGUGACGGCGCGAGCAGGUGCGAAAGCAGGUCAUAGUGAUCCGGUGGUUCUGAAUGGAAGGGCCAUCGCUCAACGGAUAAAAGGUACUCCGGGGAUAACAGGCUGAUACCGCCCAAGAGUUCAUAUCGACGGCGGUGUUUGGCACCUCGAUGUCGGCUCAUCACAUCCUGGGGCUGAAGUAGGUCCCAAGGGUAUGGCUGUUCGCCAUUUAAAGUGGUACGCGAGCUGGGUUUAGAACGUCGUGAGACAGUUCGGUCCCUAUCUGCCGUGGGCGCUGGAGAACUGAGGGGGGCUGCUCCUAGUACGAGAGGACCGGAGUGGACGCAUCACUGGUGUUCGGGUUGUCAUGCCAAUGGCACUGCCCGGUAGCUAAAUGCGGAAGAGAUAAGUGCUGAAAGCAUCUAAGCACGAAACUUGCCCCGAGAUGAGUUCUCCCUGAGACUUAGAGUCUCCUGAAGGAACGUUGAAGACGACGACGUUGAUAGGCCGGGUGUGUAAGCGCAGCGAUGCGUUGAGCUAACCGGUACUAAUGAACCGUGAGGCUUAACCUUACAACGCCGAA
rnacentral:rRNA from 1 species